rnacentral:rRNA from 1 species
GACGAACGCUGGCGGCGUGCUUAACACAUGCAAGUCGAACGAAGAGCGAUGGAAGCUUGCUUCUAUCAAUCUUAGUGGCGAACGGGUGAGUAACGCGUAAUCAACCUGCCCUUCAGAGGGGGACAACAGUUGGAAACGACUGCUAAUACCGCAUACGAUCUAAUCUCGGCAUCGAGGAUAGAUGAAAGGUGGCCUCUACAUGUAAGCUAUCACUGAAGGAGGGGACUGCGUCUGAUUAGCUAGUUGGAGGGGUAACGGCCCACCAAGGCGAUGAUCAGUAGCCGGUCUGAGAGGAUGAACGGCCACAUUGGGACUGAGACACGGCCCAGACUCCUACGGGAGGCAGCAGUGGGGAAUCUUCCGCAAUGGACGAAAGUCUGACGGAGCAACGCCGCGUGAGUGAUGACGGCCUUCGGGUUGUAAAGCUCUGUUAAUCGGGACGAAAGGCCUUCUUGCGAACAGUUAGAAGGAUUGACGGUACCGGAAUAGAAAGCCCGC